rnacentral:rRNA from 1 species
AGUGAACGCUGGCGGUAGGCCUAACACAUGCAAGUCGAACGGCAGCACAGUAAGAGCUUGCUCUUACGGGUGGCGAGUGGCGGACGGGUGAGGAAUACAUCGGAAUCUACUUUUUCGUGGGGGAUAACGUAGGGAAACUUACGCUAAUACCGCAUACGACCUACGGGUGAGAGCAGGGGAUCUUCGGACCUUGCGCGAUUGAAUGAGCCGAUGUCGGAUUAGCUAGUUGGCGGGGUAAAGGCCCACCAAGGCGACGAUCCGUAGCUGGUCUGAGAGGAUGGUCAGCCACACUGGAACUGAGACACGGUCCAGACUCCUACGGGAGGCAGCAGUGGGGAAUAUUGGACAAUGGGCGCAAGCCUGAUCCAGCCAUACCGCGUGGGUGAAGAAGGCCUUCGGGUUGUAAAGCCCUUUUGUUGGGAAAGAAAAGCAGCAGGUUAAUACCCCGCUGCUCUGACGGUACCCAAAGAAUAAGCACCGGCUAACUUCGUG